GGAAGAUAUCUAGGGCGCACGGCGGAUGCCUUGGCACAUGGAGCCGAUGAAGGACGCGGCAAGCUGCGAUAAUCCGCGGUUAGGGGCACACACCCUUCGACCCGCGGGUCUCCGAAUGGGCGAACCCGCCAGGAGAAGUCCUGGCACCCCUCAGCUGAACACAUAGGCCGAGGGGGGACAACCCGGGGAACUGAAACAUCUAAGUACCCGGAGGAGAAGAAAUCAACCUCGAGAUUCCCCGAGUAGCGGCGAGCGAAAGGGGACCUAGGCCAAACCGUGGAGCGGGCGGGCGCCAGCCCUUACCGCCCACGGGGUUGUAGGGCCUCCCGCCCGGGAGCUGGCGCUCCCGGCGGGCAUCCAUCCAGGGGAGCCGAACGGCAUGGGAAGGCCGGCGGCACAGGGUUAGGGCCCCGUAGGCGCACCCUGGGAUGGAGCCCGGUGGAGGUACCUGAGUAGGGCCGGGCACGUGAAACCCGGUCCGAACCCGGGGGGACCACCCUCCAAGCCUGAAUACUCCCAUGUGACCGAUAGCGCACCAGUACCGUGAGGGAAAGGUGAAAAGCACCCCGGGAGGGGAGUGAAACAGUACCUGAAACCGUGCGCCCGCAAGGCGUCGGAGCGGGCUUCGUCCCGUGACGGCGUGCCUUUUGUAGAAUGAGCCAGCGAGUUGCUGGCACGCGGCGAGGUUAAGCUGGGAAGCGAGCCGGAGCGAAAGCGAGUCCGAAACGGGCGAUUCCAGUCGCGUGCCGCAGACGCGAAGCCGGGUGAGCUAUCCCUGGGCAGGCUGAAGCGGGGGUAAGACCCCGUGGAGGGCCGAACGGACGUACGUUGAAAAGUGCGCCGAUGACCUGGGGAUAGGGGUGAAAGGCCUAUCAAACCCGGAGAUAUCUCGUUCUCCCCGAAAUAGCUUUAGGGCUAGCGUCGAGAGUUAACCGCCGGAGGUAGAGCACCGGAUCGAUGAGGGGGCUUCGCCGCCUACCGAUUCGAACCGAACUCCGAAUGCCGGUCGGUCCAUAUCUCGGCAGUCAGAGCAUGUGGGCUAAGCUGUGUGCUCGAGAGGGAAACAGCCCAGACCGCCCGCUAAGGCCCCCAAUUCUCAGUUAAGUGGCAAAGGAUGUGCGUCCGCGCAGACAACCAGGAGGUUGGCUUAGAAGCAGCCACCCCUUCAAAGAGUGCGUAACAGCUCACUGGUCGAGUGGACAUGCGCCGACAAUACACGGGGCUAAACUGAGAGCCGAAGCGGCGGCAAUGAGAUUUCAUUGGGUAGGGGAGCGUCGCAUACGGGGUGAAGCCGGAGGGUCACCGACGGUGGACUGUAUGCGAGUGAGAAUGCUGGCAUGAGUAGCGAGAGACGAGAGAGUAACUCGUCCGCCGUAAACCCGAGGUUUCCUGGGCGAGGCUAAUCCUCCCAGGGUCAGUCGGGGGCUAAGCCGAGGGCGGAAGCCGUAGGCGACGCGCAGCAGGUGGACAUUCCUGCACCGGAGAUGCACCGUCACGACCGACGGGGCGACGGAUUGGGGUGGCUCGGCGGGGUUCUGGACGUCCCCGUGAUGGAGCGCGGCCCGGAGACCAGGCAAAUCCGGUCUCCACGAGGGCGAGGCUCCGGACGAAGCGACUGAGCGAAGCGAGUGAGCCCGUGGUCCCCAGAAAAACCCCUAGGCAGGGGCAUCUCCGCCCGUACCGCAAACCGACACAGGUGGGUGGGUAGAACAUACCGAGGCGAUCGGGUCAACCAUGGUCAAGGAACUCGGCAAAAUGGCCCCGUAACUUCGGGAGAAGGGGCGCCGGCGCGUACGUGGACCCACUUGCUGGGCGAGCGGAGGCCGGCCGCAGUGAAGAGGCCCAAUCGACUGUUUACCAAAAACACAGGACUCUGCAGAAGGCGAGAGCCGACGUAUAGGGUCUGACGCCUGCCCGGUGCCGGAAGGUCACGCGGAGGGGUCAGCGAAAGCGAAGCCCCGAAGCCAAGCCCCGGUAAACGGCGGCCGUAACUAUAACGGUCCUAAGGUAGCGAAAUUCCUUGUCGGGUAAGUUCCGACCUGC
rnacentral:rRNA from 1 species